rnacentral:sRNA from 1 species
AUAAGUGAGAACAAUUGGUCUGUUCUGUUUAUUAUCUCACUGCUUGCCAGGGAAAAUGUGACUAGUCUGAUUAACUAGGCAGGUCCCUCCUUCUCUCAUUUCUUCAUGUUUGUCUUCUUGAAACUUCUCUCUUGGUCAAGGAAGAUGAACUUCUCAGGCAGAGAACACAGUAACAAGUUUGAUGCAUAAUCCCACAGAAAAGAAUAUUUUCUCUCUAAAUAGACCCUCGAAGGGUCUGUU